rnacentral:rRNA from 1 species
UACGGAGGGUGCAAGCGUUAUCCGGAAUCACUGGGCGUAAAGGGCGCGUAGGUGGUCUGUUAAGUCUGGCGUUAAAGCCUGGGGCUCAACCCCAGAUCAGCGUUGGAUACUGGCAGGCUAGACGGUUGGAGAGGCGAGUGGAAUUACCAGUGUAGCGGUGGAAUGCGUAGAUACUGGUAGGAACACCCAUUGCGAAGGCAGCUCGCUGGACAACACGUGACACUGAGGCGCGAAAGUGUGGGGAGCAAACCGGAUUAGAUACCCGGGUA